rnacentral:rRNA from 1 species
UACGGGGGGAGCAAGCGUUGUUCGGAUUUACUGGGCGUAAAGGGCGCGUAGGCGGCCACCGCAAGUCGACUGUGAAAUCUCCGGGCUUAACCCGGAAAGGUCAGCCGAUACUGCGGGGCUAGAGUGCAGAAGGGGCAACUGGAAUUCUCGGUGUAGCGGUGAAAUGCGUAGAUAUCGAGAGGAACACCAAUAGCGAAGGCAGCUCGCUGGGACGUUACUGACGCUGAGGCGCGAAAGCGUGGGGAGCAAACAGG